AUUGAACGCUGGCGGCAGGCCUAACACAUGCAAGUCGAGCGGCAGCGGGAAAGUAGCUUGCUACUUUUGCCGGCGAGCGGCGGACGGGUGAGUAAUGCCUGGGAAAUUGCCCAGUCGAGGGGGAUAACAGUUGGAAACGACUGCUAAUACCGCAUACGCCCUACGGGGGAAAGCAGGGGACCUUCGGGCCUUGCGCAAUUGGAUAUGCCCAGGUGGGAUUAGCUAGCUGUUGAGGUAAUGGCUCACCAAGGCGACGAUCCCUAGCUGGUCUGAGAGGAGGAUCAGCCACACGGGAACUGAGACACGGUCCAGACUCCUUCGGGAGGCAGCAGUGGGGAAUAUUGCACAAUGGGGGACACCCUGAUGCAGCCAUGCCGCGUGUGUGAAGAAGGCCUUCGGGUUGUAAAGCACUUUCAGCGAGGAGGAAAGGUUGAUGCCUAAUACGUAUCAACUGUGACGUUACUCGCAGAAGAAGCACCGGCUAACUCCGUGCCAGCAGCCGCAGUAAUAC
rnacentral:rRNA from 1 species